rnacentral:rRNA from 1 species
ACCGGCGGCUCGAGUGGUGGCCACUAUUACUGGGCUUAAAGCGUUCGUAGCUGGCUUGUUAAGUCUCUGGGGAAAUCUUCCGGCUCAACCGGAAGGUGUCUCAGGGAUACUGGCAGGCUAGGGACCGGAAGAGGUGAGAGGUACUCCAGGGUAGGGGUGAAAACCCGUAAAUCCUGGGGGAACACCAGGUGGGGAGGCGGCCCACCCGGGCGGGUCCCAACGUUGAGGAACAAAACCUGGGGAGCAAACCG